CCUGUGGCGAAGGCGCCCGGCUGGAACGGGUCCGACGGUGAGGGACGAAGGCCGGGGGAGCAAACCGGAUUAGAUACCCGGGUAGUCCCGGCUGUAAACUCUGCGGACUAGGUGUCGCGUCGGCUUCGGGCCGGCGCGGUGCCGAAGGGAAGCCGUUAAGUCCGCCGCCUGGGGAGUACGGUCGCAAGACUGAAACUUAAAGGAAUUGGCGGGGGAGCACUACAACGGGUGGAGCCUGCGGUUUAAUUGGAUUCAACGCCGGGCAUCUUACCAGGGGCGACGGCAGGAUGAAGGCCAGGUUGACGACCUUGCCAGACGCGCCGAGAGGUGGUGCAUGGCCGUCGUCAGCUCGUACCGUGAGGCGUCCUGUUAAGUCAGGUAACGAGCGAGACCCGUGCCCCAUGUUGCCAUCCCCUCCUCCGGGAGGGGGGCACUCAUGGGGGACCGCCGGCGAAAAGCCGGAGGAAGGUGCGGGCAACGACAGGUCCGCAUGCCCCGAAUCCCCUGGGCUACACGCGGGCUACAAUGGCCGGGACAAUGGGAUGCGACCCCGAAAGGGGGAGCAAAUCCCCUAAACCCGGUCGUAGUCCGGAUCGAGGGCUGUAACUCGCCCUCGUGAAGCCGGAAUCCGUAGUAAUCGCGCCUCA
rnacentral:rRNA from 1 species